GUUUAAUGCUCCUGGAGUUCUCCCAAACACUUCAGUGAACAGAUCCCUAGGGAAUUCACAGAAGUGUUUGGGGGGACUCUGGGAAUCGUUGAAC
rnacentral:pre_miRNA from 1 species